rnacentral:rRNA from 1 species
UACGGGGGGUGCGAGCGUUGUUCGGAUUUAUUGGGCGUAAAGCGCGUGCAGGCGGUUUGUCAAGUCUGAUGUGAAAGCCCUGGGCCCAACCCGGGAAGUGCAUUGGAAACUGGCAAACUUGAAUACGGGAGAGGGUAGUGGAAUUCCUGGUGUAGGAGUGAAAUCCGUAGAUAUCAGGAAGAACACCGGUGGCGAAGGCGGCUACCUGGACCGAUAUUGACGCUGAGACGCGAAAGCGUGGGUAGCAAACAGGAUUAGAUACCCUGGUAGUCCACGCCCUAAACGAUGAGUACUAGGUGUUGCGGGUAUUGACCCCUGCAGUGCCGCAGCUAACGCAAUAAGUACUCCGCCUGGGAAGUACGGUCGCAAGACUAAA